CAGGCCACGGGGAUGGGGAGGUGCAUAGAGGCCGGGCUGCAUAGAGAAAGAGAGGCCACGUGGGGUGCAUAGAGGCUGAGGGAAAGAGAGGCGGAGGGCCAUAGAGACAAUGGGGUAUAGAGAUAGAAGGACAGAGAUGUAUGGGGCUACAGAGAUGUUGGGACUGAAAGACUGAGGGGCAUAGAGGCUGCGCUGUAUAGCGUCUGAGCGUCCACGGGGACCAUGGAGCCGGAGCUAGCUACAUAGACACAGGCCACAGGGGGCGCAGAGGCUGGGCUGGAGAGAAAGGCCACGAUGUGUGUGUUGGGGGCGCGCAGAGCUCCAGCGGCCUAUGCCCUAUAGGCAGAGGGGCGAGGGAGGACGGGGCGCAGAGGCUGGGCUGCAUAGAGACAGAGAGGCCGGGGCGGGGGAGCGGGGACAUAGUGGCGGAAGGAAAGAGAGGUCUAGGGGCAUAGAGCGAGGGACAGAGAUGCCUAGGCUACAGAGAUGUAGGUCCAGAGGCCGAGGGGCAUAGAGGCUGGAGUGCAAAGAGCCAGAGAGGCCAUGGUGGUUAGAAGCCAAGCUGCAUAGAGAUAGAGGGGGGAGGGGGGCAUGGAGGCUGGGCUGUGUAGAGACAGAGAGGCCGGGAGGGGGCAUAGAGGCCAAGCUGAGUGGAGAUAGAGAGGCCAGAGGGGGAGCAUAGAGGCGGAGCUUCAUAGAGACGGGGGUGGGGGGGGGGGUGGGUAUAGAGUUUAGGUUAGAGACAGAGCGUCCACGGUGGGGUGGGCGUGGCUUAGAGGCUUGGCUGUAUAGAGAGUGGCCACGUGGGGUGCAUAGAGGCUGAGGGAAAGAGAGGCCAAGGGCCAUAGUGCUACAGAGAUGUUGGGACAGAGAGGCUGAAGGUCUUAGAGGCUGUGCUGUAUAGCGUCUGAGACUCCACCGGGACCAUAGAGCCCAAGCUCCAUGGCGACAUAGAGGCCGAGCCUGCAUAGAAACAGAGGGGCGGGGGACGGGGCAUAGAGGCCGGACUGCAUAAAGACAGAGAGGCCGCGGGGGCCGGGGGAUAGAGACUGAGGGAAAGAGAGGCCGAGGGCCAUAGUGACAAUGGGACAUAAAGAGUGACAGAGAUUCAUUGGGCUACAGAAAUGUUGGGACAGAGAGGCUGAGAGGCAUAGUAGCUGCGCUGUAUAGAGUCAGAGUCUACAGGGUGGGGGCUACCCAAGCUACAUAGACACAGAGUGGUCACGGGGCGUAUAGAAGCUGAGCUGAAUAGACACACAGGCCUCAGAAGACAUAGAGCCUCGGUGGUAGAGACAUAGAGGCCAAGGUAUAUAAGGACAGAGAAGGCUUGGGGGAAUGGUGAGCGCAUAGAGGCUGAGGGAAAGAGUCCGAGGGCCAUAGAAACAAUGGUGAAUAGAGAGGGGCGGAGAUGCAGAGAGCCUCAGAUAUAGGAACAUAGGUACUAAGGGGCAUAGAGUCUCAGCAACAGAGAAGCCACGCGGGGCAUAGAGGCUGAGCUGCCUAGAGACACAGAGGCCAUUGGUGGGGACGGGGACAUAAAGGCUAAGUUCCUAGACACAGAGAUACGAAGGUAUAGAGGCCAAGAUUCUUAGAGACACCAAGGGGCUUAAAGGCUACCGGAGGGGCUAUAGAAGCUGAGGAAAAGAUAGCCCGAGGGCCAUAGAAACACAGGGACAUAGAAAUAGGGGGACAGAGAGAACACAGGGGAAUAGAGGCUGAGGCUGCAUAGAGAGACUGUCCAUGGGAAGGGCCGUAGAGGCCAAGGGGCCUAGACACAGAGACUCCAAUGGACAUAGAAGCAGACCUGUAUAAAGACGGAGAUGCUGCGGGGGUAGUGGGGCAUAGAGGCUGAGUGAAAGUGAUGCCGAGGGCCAUAGAGAUACAGAGGGCCAACAGAGAGGUUGAGGGGCAUACAGGCCAGGCUGCAUAGAGAUAGAGUGGCCACGGGGGUUGGGGAGGUGACAUAGAGGCUGAGGGAAAGAGAGCCCGAGGGCCAUAAAGAAAUAGGAACAGAGGCUGACAGGCAGAGGGGCAUAGAGGCUGAGCUGAAUAAAGACAGAGAUACCACUGAGGACAUAGAGGCUGAACUGCAUAGAGUCAGACAGGCCACAGUGGGGUGGAGGUGAGGGAUAGAGGCUUAACUGUAUAGAGACAGGCCACAGGGGACACAGGCUGAGCUUCAUAGAGACAGAGGGGCCAUGGGGGGCAUAAAGAUAGAGGGACAGAGAGGUUGAUGGGAAUAGUCUCACAGACAAAGAUGCAGAGGGUCUUAGAGACAGAGGCUAGGAGGGACAAAAAGGUGGAGGGACAGAGAGGUCGUGUCAUAUAGACUGAGCUCUAUAGAGACAGGCCUAGGAAAGGAAAGGGUGAGGGGCCCGAUAUGCUCAGGGCCAUAGAGAUAGAGGGACAGAGAGGCCAAGAGUUCUGACAGGCCUAAAGGAGGAGAGGCUGAGAGGCAUAAAGACAAAGGGACAAGGAGGUUCCAGGGGCAUAGAGGCCAAGCUGAAUAGAUACAGAGGUGCCAAAGGGCCGGAGAGGGUGAGGGCCAUAGAGGUAGAGGGGCAGGGAGGCCAAAGGGCAUACGACCUGAGGGAAAAAGAGAGGCCCAGGGACAUAGAGGCUGAGAGGCAUAAAGACAGGGUAGAAGGGGCAGGUGCAGAGGGGUUUAGAGACAGCAGCUGAGGAUAGGAGAGGCUGAGGGACAGAGAAGCUGUGGGACAUAGAGGUUCCUGGACAGAGAUGCAGAACAACCUAGAGAGACAGGCUAGGAGAGGCUGAGGGAAAGAGGCCAAGGGACAUAGUGGCUAAUGGACGUUGACGCGUAAGAGUUGGAGGGCUGGAGAGGCUGUUGGGCAUAGACACAGAGGGACAAAGAGGUCUCAGGGCAUAGAGGCGGAGAUGCAUAGAGGGUUAAUCACAUACAGACAGAGGCCAAGGGGCAUAAAGCUGAGGGACAGAGAAGCAGAGGGUAGAAGAGGAUGUGGGCCAUAGAGGUGGAGAGGCUGAAAAUCAGAAGCACAAAGACAGAGGUGGAGGCAGAGAAGGGGGCUAGAGGGUAGAGACUUGGAGAAGAGACAGAAGCAGAGGAGCAAAGGAAGAAAUGUAGGGGGAGACAGGCUAAGGGGUAGAAAGGCAGAGGAGUGGAGGCUGAGGCCUGGACACAGAGGCAGAAGCAGAGGUUGAGAGGCAGUGAGCCACACAGGCCAAUUCAGAGUGAAGUAGAGAUAGAGAGGCAGAAAGGCACAAGCUGAAAUAACACAGACAGAGGCAAGAAAACCAGGAAGCAGGGGUAGAGGGGCAGAGAGGCAAGGUAAGAAAUGGAGAUGCCCAGAACUCUAAAGGCAGAGAGGCUGGCAAAGAGAGGCAAAGAGGCGAAAGUAGAGCUAAAGCCUAGUUAGAGAGGCAGAAAACUGCAAAGGGAGAGUGUUGGGAAACAGGCUGAUACAAGGCUUUCUCAGGGGCCCCAACGAAUGGAAAAAGGGAACAUUAGUUCUGUGUCCUUGAUCAGGUGCAGUCUGGGGCUUGGGCCAGGGCCUCAGAGGAGUCAGAGUUGCAGUUUCUGGGAUCUGGGCUGUGGCUAUCAGUCCUCCUUCCGGGUGCUGUGUGUGAAGCAUUCCGUGUUCUCUUUGCCAUCAUUGUAUCGUUUAGCUUUCUGCUGACCUUGACUAUCCGUCUCCCCUGCCAACAGGCCCUGUCACAAAGAAUGACCCAUUGGCCCAACCCAAUUGGCACCUGAACAGAGACCAGAGUAAGGAGAAAAGGGUUCGGCAACAGUUCCCAAAUUAGGAGGCACCAUAUUUUCUCCAAUACAUUCGAGUAUAUUCUGGUCUCCUUGGUCUUUUGGCAGAGGAAGGUGAUGGUCCGUCUUGGGUUCCCGAGAGUCUUGUCAAACACUCCCAGAUCACAAAAGCGAUGGCUGCAUCACAGGCGCCAGAAGUUGAGGGUGCAGAAGAUGAUGAGUUUCAAGGCACAGCAGAGCCCAAAGCGUCCUAUCCAGUCUACCCAGAAGCGUCUGUUCCAGACUUGGAAACAGAUUAAACACUUUACUGCUGAAGGCAUUCAAGUGGUCAAGGCCAAAGGGCAACGUAUUUCUCCUACUCGCUUAGUUUCAGCAUUUCUGUCAUUAUUCUCUGUCCCGUUGGCAGAAAGUGUGGGGGUCUACUGGGCUUAGGUGCCUGAUCCUGCUUUGGCCCACCCAGUCACUUGGGAGGAUUCAGCAACUGGAGUGUUUACUAAUUAUAUAGUGGUUUUGACAGUCCUGAUAUUUCUCAUGUGCUGCCUUGCACUGUGCUCUCAUCCAUCGUUCCCAUUUGUCAUUGGUGAGUCACUAUGCAUGUGUCCCUCUAAUCCAAGUGAUCCAAAAAACUUGUCUUUGGGGUACAGGAGAGUUUUCUAAACAUCAUCAGUUCGCCCAUCAAUUUAGUUUUCCAGUCUCUAAUCAUUCACAAGUUACCCCAUUGGAUGGAUGUGUCCAAGUAUGCAAUGAGAAUCCUGUGCCCUGGUUUCCAGAAUGGAAUUCCCAUGCCAUGGUUCUAAAGAAUUCUGUGCCUCUGAAUGGAUGACCUAAGGUGCUUGUCGACUUGUCUUAGAGGUGGCCACCUGGCCUGGAUGAAGAUAACUUAGGUGCCCAGGGCCAUGUAGGAGGAAUGGCAAAUGGCUUUAGAACUCAUGGAAUUUGGCUCACAGGUUACCACAGUCACAUGGGUGAGCCUUGGUGUGGUAAAGCCCCAAGGACCACGUGCCCUGAGGACUUUAUGCUGUUACAGAGUUCUGCUCUGCUUGCUGCCCUCAUAUCCCUCUUCAUCUAAGAACUGUAUGAAAACUUUAAGGGGGCUUCCAGCCCCUCACUGGGCAGUAUCUCUGGCACUCACAGUACAAAUGUUUGGUCUCUUUCAGGCACUGCUGCUGGAGCAGAUUAAUGAUUCUAUCACCACCCUAGGAAAGAACUUAGAGAUGCAGAUUGUCAGCAGUUACCACGAUUCUUAGAAAACAUUUGGAAAAAUAAAGUUGUUGGUGAAACUAGGUUGAGAUAUUUUUGAUACUGGCUGAUAUAAAAUAAUCUUAGGAAACAAUCUGAAGUUCAGAAAGGCACACUCAUAUUAGUUAUGCUAGGGACCUAAAGGUCAGGGAACAAUGGCAGCACUGGCUGACGUGACUCUCACUGAGGCUGGACUGGUGGUAAUUGACUUCUUAUUCUCAGUUUUGCCCUCAGCUUCCUGAUACAGUAUAAGAAUUGCUGAUGAAUAGAUAUGUAUUUUAAGGAUUUAUGAUAGAUAUGACUGCUUUUCAUAUAAAAGUUUAGAUUUGUGAUUCUUUUAAGAUUCUCACAAUAUUACUUUAAAGAUAAAUAAUAAAAUAACUACUCUUUUCUUUGUAACCACAAAUUGCAUCCUGCCAGUAAGAGAAACUGGCUGAGCAAACUCCCUUGCUUACUCACACUUUGUUAAUCUAUAACAAGUUGCUUAGUUACGAAUGUAUGUGGCUUUGGGGGAAUAAUUUGUUUUCUUUACCUGUACUAUCUAAUGUUAUUUCUUGUAAAGGUAUUGGAAAACCCAUUGUAUUUUCAUAACCAUUUACUAGAAGAAAACUAAAACCUCAGCACAUUGUAAUUGUAUAUUGCUUGAAAGAUUUUGUUGGGAUGUAUAAGCUAUGGAAGAAAGAAUAAAGUAUGAGGGUUGAAACACUCAUCAACUAUGUGUAUGUGUAAGAUUUACGUAUAUGGUGGGUUGAUGGGUUGGUGCAUUGCUCCUUCCAUCCAGCAAUUGUGUGUGUGUGUGUGUGCGUAUACACAGAUAUAUA
rnacentral:lncRNA from 1 species